rnacentral:rRNA from 1 species
UACGGGGGGAGCAAGCGUUGUUCGGAUUUACUGGGCGUAAAGGGCGCGUAGGCGGCCACCGCAAGUCAAUUGUGAAAUCUCCGGGCUUAACUCGGAAAGGUCAACUGAUACUGCGGGGCUAGAGUGCGGAAGGGGCAACUGGAAUUCUCGGUGUAGCGGUGAAAUGCGUAGAUAUCGAGAGGAACACCUGCGGCGAAGGCGGGUUGCUGGGCUGAUACUGACGCUGAGGAGCGAAAGCGUGGGGAGCGAACAGG